AUGGAGACCGGCGCCGGCUGCCCUCUGGCCGUCCCGUGCCGCGUCUCCUCUCUGCCCUCGCCCUGCGCGAUGCCCACCGCUGGCCAGGGCCGGCCGUCCUCUUGCCCAGCUCGGGUUCACGCGUUUCCGCUGCUCCGCCUCGGCCGCGCUUCCUCUUCCCCGCGUCCGGAUCUGCCCCUGGCGUCUCGCGUGUGUGCAUGUCAGGCCUCGCGCAUUUUUGCUCCGGACUUCCCACUGGAAGAGGCGGUGUUUACAUCCGUCCGUCCGUCCGUCUACGCAUCUGUGCGUCUUUCUGGCAUCCAUCCGUCUCUGUCUUUCUGUCUGUCCAUCUGUCUUUAUUUCUUUGUGAUAAAAAAGCUAUUUUUUCCCUGUCUUGAGCUGCAGCCAACACGUCUCUGCUUCCUGGAGAAUGAAAGUGCUUUAGCAGACGGAAUGGGAAGCGAUGGAGUCACAAACGUUUUCCGGAAGGAAAAGCUUCAGAAUUGCCUCUGGAGACACCCGGGGGGCGUGCAGGGACGCCGACCACAACGAACGCGGCUGCCAGGCCAUGGACCCGACACCACUGCUCGGGGCAGCCGGGGACGCAGAGCGAGGGGCUCAGAGCCAGGCAAGGGCUCGGGCAGAGGGGUCUCCCCGCUGGACACAGGGGUCUCCCACACUGGACACAGGGGUCUCCCUGCUGGACACAGGGGUCUCCAUGCUGGACACAGGGGUCUCCCCGCUGGACACAUGAGUCUCUGUGCUGGACACAGGGGUCCCUGCUGGACACUGGGGUCUCCACGCUGGACACAGGGGUCUCCGUGCUGGACACAGGGGUCUCCACGCUGGACACAGGGGUCUGUGUGCUGGACACAGGGGUCUCCACGCUGGACACAUGAGUCUCUGUGCUGGACACAGGGGUCUCCCUGCUGGACACGGGGGUCUCCAUGCUGGACACAGGAGUCUCCAUGCUGGACACAGGGGUCUCCCACACUGGACACAGGGGUCUCCCACAUUGGACACAGGGGUCUCUAUGCUGGACACAGGGGUCUCCCCGCUGGACACAGGGGUCCCCCUGCUGGACACAGGGGUCUCCAUGCUGGACACAGGAGUCUCCAUGCUGGACACAGGGGUCUCCCCACUGGACACAGGGGUCUCCGACACUGGACACAGGGGUCUCUAUGCUGGACACAGGGGUCUCCCCCACUGGACACGGGGAUCUCCCUGCUGGACACAGGGGUCUCCCCACUGGACACGGGGGUCUCCCUGCUGGACACAGGGGUCUCCCCACUGGACACAGGGGUCUCCCUGCUGGACACUGGGGUCUCCCUGCUGGACACAGGGGUCUCCCUGCUGGACACUGGGGUCUCCCUGCUGGACACAGGGGUCUCCACGCUGGACGCUGGGGUCUCCUGUUGUGGACGCAGAGGUCUGCAUGCUGGAUGCCUAGAAGAGGAGCUGAGGCAGUUCCCUCCCCCACCAGCGGGAAGCCGUCUGAGGUCAGCAGGCAGCGGGUCAAGCCGCGGCUUGUGCUGGAUCGAGUCCCAGCUGGGAGACCCGGGUGGAGCUCUGGGCUCCUGGCUUUGGAUCAGCACGAGCAGCCAUUUGGGGGGCGAGCCAGUGGACGGAGGACCUCUCUCUCUGUCUCUCCCUCUCUGUAACUCUGCCUCUCAAAUAAAUAGAGAAAAUCUUUAA
rnacentral:lncRNA from 1 species